rnacentral:rRNA from 1 species
UACGUAGGGUGCGAGCGUUAAUCGGAAUUACUGGGCGUAAAGCGUGCGCAGGCGGUUUUGUAAGCCGGAUGUGAAAUCCCCGGGCUUAACCUGGGAAUGGCAUUCGGGACUGCAAGGCUGGAGUGCGGCAGAGGAGACUGGAAUUCCCAGUGUAGCGGUGAAAUGCGUAGAUAUUGGGAGGAACACCGGUGGCGAAGGCGGCCCUCUGGACCGAAACUGACACUGAAGCGCGAAAGCUAGGGGAGCAAACGGG